UUUCAAGUCUGUGUAUACUGUGUCUUUUAGAGUUAGCUCAGUUUGCCCAGUUUUACUACUUUACCUGCUUCUGAUGACUCAUUGUGUCUUGCUGCCACAGAGGAAAUAAAUUCCUGAUGACUGAAAUCGAUUUGACUGCAUCUCCCCAGCGUGUUAAGAGACCAGGGUCCAGGCCAUUUGUCAUGCUGCCAAUAAUUACCGGAAACACUAAAUGUCAUGGUGAGGAGCUCAAACAGACAAAAAGAGCCAAACAGGGGAAAGUGCUGACAAGGUAAUUGGAGCUGCCUGAGGCCACAGCUGAGCGCUGAGAGGACAGUAGGCAAUGAGACAGAAGAGGUCACUGGAGCCGCCUGAGGCUACAGCUUAGCACCGUGAGCACAAUUGCCAGAGAAUGAGGCUGACCACGCCAUUGGAGCUGCCAGAAGUCACAGUUUUCAACAACAUUUGGACACAGGUCAACACCGUAUGGCCAGUCAGCAGUGGAAAAGAUCAGACAGGACUAGAAAGAAGGAUAGAAACUUCAGAAGAGCGUGGACAGCUCCACAAGAAGUCACAAAUGCAGUUCAAUUUCAUACACCUAAGAUGGAUUUAGUCUGCAUUUCCUGCAAUGCUGUCAUGUUCCCUUAGGAGAUGUCAAAAGCUCAUGGUGAUCACAAAUCCUUCAGUGCCUGUUGCAACUACGGAAGAAUAUUCAAAGACCCUACUGACACCAUCAGCAGUCUGUCCUGACAGUGGAAACAAGCCAACAUUUUCUCAGAUCUUUGUCUUUGAUCAAGACAAUGAACUUAAGAACAGACUUCACCGGGCAAAGGGUGAUGGAGUUGUUAAUGCAAACUUUGCAUUAACAACAAAUGCAACUUUGACCUUGAUUCAGGACAAGUUGAAGACUGUCAGUCCUUUGGUAAGGUAAAGAGCAAAGCAAGUACCUUCACAGCAAACCCCAGUAAGGACGUCAGGAUGGUGUUUAAGGCAAAGAGCGAGAUUCUGUAGGGACAAACAGGGAUCAAAGGGUCUUCCCACCAAGGAUUCCUCACCAUGACAGAAAUGAUGAGCUUCCCUUCACCUUUGUCAGACGACAGUUUCCUGUCGGCUGGCUUUCUCAGUUACCAUCAACAAAGGUUGAUUAGACCUUUGCUCAGGUUGAAGUCCAUGCAGUCCUGAGAAGAGGUCUGUCUAAUCACGCAGUUAAGUGAAAACACCUGUGUAGGUGGACCAUGGGUGUGUUGGGUGAUUAAUUCACUAAAUAAAGUACUCAUUACAAAAAUGUUUUUUGUAAUGUACUAGUACUGGUUAUACAGAGUUUCUUACAGGAUAUGAGUGCUGUAUGAGUUCACUACAACUUUUAACAUAUGAGGUAUAUCAAAAUUGCAAUCGAUCACCAGAGUAUGUCACAUUUUUAAAUGUGUUUCACCUCCUUGUUGUUGGUAAUCAGGGAAAAUGUCAUCAGAUAACAUCCGAUCAUGUAAAAUUUACUGUAGUUUGACCAAGUAUACCCAACUCCAGUCACAGAAAAUGUGACAUUUUAGGGCUUCACGCUACUUGACAGUACAGGUGGAUAUAACAAAGACUUGUUGAAUAGCACCAUUAAAGAUUUCAGCUCUCAGUGACAAGUUUAACUGCACACUAAUUGUUAACACUCAGUGGGGGAAAAAAGUAAUCAAACCAGAAGUUUUACUAUGCCCUCAAGUGCUUGUGAUUGAUAAACUCUGCUGGGAAAUUAAGAAUCACAAUCUGUGACAUCAAGUGCAAUACUAGCUCCUGCAGAAUAGAGCUGUUGUCAUUCAGACUACUGCCAUUCUGGAUUUAAGAUAAGAUAUAGGAGCCUGUUUUCUGCCUUUUCUCCCCCUUGGGUUCACUUUUCUUGAAUCUGUAAUGAAGUCUAGUCAUACCCUGCAAUAUCUUAAACUGAUUAUUGAAAAAAAGUGCUGAAAAAGUCUGAAAAAGUCAAUUUAUAAAGUAACAAGUAGCUUUUGUCAGCUUCACUCAGUCAAAAUGUUCUGUAUCUGCUUCAUAGAAAAAUAUUUCAGCUUUCCCUCUGUUAGAGGAAAAACCUGCCUGAUGUUUUACUGCUCAGAUAUAGGAAAUGUAAACUGGGCUUUGGCCUGAUUCAUGGCACAAGAAUCUGCAAGAGCAAGUAUUGAUUAAUAUUAGGAGGAUGAUGUGGUGGAGAGAGUAAUGAGAAUGUGAACAGUAUGAAGCAGGUAGAACCUGGAGGUCCACCAUGUCUGCAUGUGAUUAGUUUGUUUGUAUCUUUUGACAGCCUAAGUUAACAUGCUGUGUAAAAACUCUAUCUUAGAGUUAAUUUGAACCAUUUAGAUAUACAUAUAACUCUGAUAAUUCAUUCUUCAGGCGCUUUGUUGUUUUUUUUUAUCCAGGGCUUUGUUAAAAAAAAAGGCCCAAAUUGGAUUGAUUUUACCCAAACACGUCUUGGUGCCUGUUUAAACAGUCCAGAAGCUAUUUGGAGUUUGUUAUUCAGAUUCCCUCUUCACAUUUCUCAUUUGCACAAACAACAGAUUCUAAAUGAGGCUUAAAGCAAACUAAACCUCCACCAAAGGCAUCCUUUUGCCAGGUAAUCUCCAGUGCAUGUACAUAUGUGUGUGUCUUGUCUGUCAAGUAUCAAGUAUGAGUAUAUAAUUCAUCUCUUUCAUCUGGCAUCACAAACACACUGAUAAUUAGGCUGGUACACACACACACUCUCUCUCACACACACACCUAAUACAGGCUGAUUGGAAGUGUGCUCUUGUAUACACCCAAAGGCUCUUGUGCACCUGCUACUGCAGGAAAUGAGAACAGACACACAUACACACAGACUACAAGCUAGCGGAUGCAAAAUGUGCAGAAGUGUCUGCAUGCAAGCACAUACUCAAACACACACACAUGCUGGAGAUUACCUGGCUCCAGGAUGUUAUUGGCAGUUGUUUUGUUUGCAAACUCAUUUAGAAUUUGUUAUUUCUAUAAACUGGCCAAGUACUUACAGUCAAGAUUUGCAAAAGACUGAGACCCAAUGCUUCUUUCUCGAUUCAAUUCAAUUUAGGUCAAAUUAUUCAGUAUUUUAUACUAGCAUGAAAGGUAAUAUCAGUAUUAGUAAACCAACAACGAGAUACAGGUGACAUGGUGUUUUGUAUAGGUGUAUAUUAAAAUCAUAGACUGUAUAUAAAGACGGACAGAGCAAGGUUUGAAGCCCAUAGUUCAUAGUGCAGUAAUUCCCAAAAAGACCACCAUUGCCCCCAUAUUUAGUCUGUAGGACCCAUAUUUAGCAAUUGAGACCAUAAUGAUUUGUUGAAAAAAGUGACUGACUUAGUUAUUCUAGAGAGACGUUUACACUUUUUGAGAAUCCCUGUCAUGCCCUCCACUUCUGCCUCCUCCUAGUGUGUGUGUGUGUGUGGGUGUGUCUCUCUGUCUCUCGUGUCUGUGUCCAAAUUGCAAUAGUGGAGACAGGUGUGUGGGAGUCGGGCGAACAGCUGCCAUCCAUCAGGAGUUCUGCUUAAAUAGUGGGUGCAACCUCCUACUCACCGCCAGAUCGUAGACUCUGUUCAUACAAAGACCUCAGCCUGACCCUGGCUCUGUCUCCAGUCCUCCUGCCUCACCUGCACAGCCCAUCGCUCUGCCUGGCUCCCCGCUCCAACCCCUAUACCCAGCCCCCAGGUUCCCCAGCUACUAGCCCAGACCUUGGCCCCAGCCUCUCAGUUCACCGCCUUGCAAAUAAAAUCCUUUUCCAACUCUA